AAAAUUCUUUUAUUAUAUGAUAGAUUUACUAUUUAACGACUGGUGCUUACUAAACAAGAGGAAUAUCCAAAUCUUUUGGACUUGUUAUAAACAAAAGUAUUUAUAGUCGCGAUCUACGUCAGUGAUAUCCAUCAAAUAGUUUAAUCUUUAUUUGAUUUCAAAAAAACAGUUUACCUGUAAAGAUUGAACGCACGCAGACUUUAAAAUAACUCGGAGGACGAGACACGAUGAAGGUCGUGCGAUCAUUCGAUCAUUCCAAACAUGUGGAAGCAGAGAAUCGGUUACAAACAAUUUAUCAAGAAACAAGAAUGAAACUAAAGGAGUCAAUUCAUCGAUCAAAAUAUAUACUGUACGGUGCAGUAUUACGAGUCACAAAAAUUGUCCUUGGUAUUACUUACGUCAGAGAGAAUUUGGGACUUUGGAAAAGGUUAAGGAAAAUAAUUUUUUAUGAAAAGUUUAUGAACGACACCUUUAAUCCGACAGUAGAAGAACUUGCGAGAAAGGUGCACUUUCCUCUAAGUUUACAGGAACGUAAUCGACAGAAAUCGUGGGUAAAAUAACAUAUAACGUGAUUCUCGUUCGAUCAUAAAAUAAAUUAUCGAAGUUUCAUGGAAAGUUACACGUAAACGUGUGAUGUAACAUAUCUGAUAUCGGGAAACGCGAAUAUUCUUGUUGAUACUAUUACGCGAUUAGUUUAUACUUCAUAUAUUAAAUGCUAUUAGUUCGCUCUAAUCGUGUGAGGAAUCGAUUCAUUAAAUUCUUCAAUCAAUGCAGGCUAUAUAUUACUAAUAUAUAAUUAUUUCAAAUAUUUUAAUGCACUUUAAAUGAAUACCGUUUAUAAAAUAAAGUUAAUCUAACUUAUCUGUAAAAUUAUAUAAUUAUAUAAUUCCGUAAAAUUAUAUAAUUUCUUAGCAAUAUCCUUUUCAAAAUUACAAUGUUCCCUUCUUAAAAAUAACUAUCUUGAAAACAUAAAUUUAACAUAUAGAUACGAAAGGAAAUGUAUACAUCAGAGUACUAUACAAUAAAGAAUCGAAUGACCGAUUAUAUCUAUUAAAUGAAAUCUUCUAAUUAAAUUAAUCUGAUUAAACUAUCUAUACUACUAUAAACUAUUUUAUAACUAUAACUAUAACGUCGUGAAAUCUAUCUGCAGAAAUGAAAUUCGCCGAAAAAUCCAGAAUAACUGGUAAUCCGGUCUUUUAUACAAUCCAACUCGAGAAUUCGGGUGAAUCACGUUCGAAUCGAAUGUCGCUGCAGAGGUAAAACAAUUUAUAACCGCCGCGUCGGCCAGGUACUUGCGUAA
rnacentral:misc_RNA from 1 species